ensembl:lncRNA
UGGUGAGGAUGCUGGUUUCCUCCCUCAUCCCACCUGUGCUGGACGCCGAAGGCUGACGUCUGCAAGCUGCUGAUGGCCUGUUAGGGAAAGACAGAUACUAAAAAAACCCUACAGGAUCUGACUGAAAGAAUAAAAAGGAAAUGCGAUCAAAAGCUGGGGGCAGAGAGCACAGAGGGGGAUCCAGCUCUUUGUGGGCCACCUGGAGGAGGUGGGAAUUACGCGGUUGUUUGGAGACCUGGCAGAAGUUGGAUGGGCGGGUGGAACACAAUCAGAAACUGUUGGGGACGGAAAACUGAUAGCGCUUGGUGUCUGCUGACAGCAGCAGAGAGGGGAGACUGCUAGGCAGUUCCCAGGUUUUCAUGAGAUUUCGAGUAAAUGGGGAGAGAGAAACUACUCCCCCCCCCCCACCACCGCACCCCAGUCCCCCAGGCAGUGUGUGGAUUCUAUGAGGCGAUGUUUGAGCCCCGCCAACACACAGUAGGAUCCCCAUAAAUGUUAGCUCAUUGUCUCCUGGGACGGGUGUUUUUUUUCUCCCUGGUCUCUACAUGGGCUGUGUUCCUCCCAGGCUGGAAGGAAAUCCCCUGGGAGUUCCAGGCCUGCGUCGGGGCGCAUGCUCUGCUGGGGACAAGAGCCCGGGCCACUGUCAGGCUGACUCCAGCCCCGGGGGCUGCUGAAGCACACAGAUGCCUCCGAAGAGCUCUGCAUGGGGUCUCCUUGCCACACCAGACCGUGUUUCAUUUUCCAUGCAGGAAGGGUUUGGUGGUUGUUUUUUUUUUUUUUUCCCCACCAUCCAAAAAAAUGCAACAUGUUGAGGGAAUUUAGUUCAGGCAAGGGAAGAACUUGGAGAGGAAACGUCAAGGCUUUGCCUGAGGAUUUGUCCGCAUGGUUUCUACCACACAAGCCAUCAUAAUCAUGCACGGAAAGCAUCUGUAGAGCCUGGGGAGGUCCCUUCUCCAUGUGCCCCAUUCAGUUGGGGAGGCACCAAGGCCCUGAUUAAAAAUGAAAAUUAUGAAACGCCAUGGGCAGUUUUGAGUUACUUUGAAUGAUUUGUGUCAGUCCUUCGCGGGUCUCCCCGAUGCUCAUGGCUCAACGGACUCCAAGUCAGCUGACCCAGGUUUCUCAGCUACGACGCUAUUGGCAUGUGGGGCUGGAUAAAUUUUUGUUGCAGGGGCUGUCUUGUGGAUUAUAGGAUGUUCAGCUGCGUCCCUGGCAUCUACACGCCAGACACGAAUAGCGGCACCCUGCCGCGACAACCCAAAAUAUCUCCAGACUUUGCUGCAGUUCCCCGGAGGACAAAGUCACCCCCGUGUGAGAACCACUAGUUUCCUCUUUAUUCUACGCUUCGCCAUGUUAUUUCUCAGUUGCACGGUCUUUGGCGAGUUACCCAAACUCCAAGAGCCCCAGUUUACCCGCUUGGACACUGGCGAUCACCGCGUCUGCCCUUCACGGUCACCGCGAGUUAACGCUGGUCGAAUGCUGACCGACCCCUUCACUCAAUUCCCAGAAAACCCGAGUCUGUCUUCCCCACCUCCAACCCAACGUCCCAUGGUGUAGGAACCCCUUCCACCGUGCAUCCACAGGCUGGAUCUCCUCCGAGGUGUCUCUACAAUGAAAUGGCCAAAGUGAGCCACCUAAGAAGGGCAAGGGAGUGCGCUCCCUCGAUAAUUUGCUGGGUGUGCCUGCUCUGUGUGCUUCCACGGCUGAGCGUCUCUUUGGAGGCAGGCACUGCGAGCUGGCCGCGGGCCCCGGUAACGGACAGGGUUUGCUCUGACUUCGUUUGCCUCCAAUCCCCAUUCUUCCUUGUCUACUUUCCACACAUUCA